GUUAAAACACCGGUUCCCGUAAGAUCACAGAAGUUAAGCAACGUCGACCCUGGCCAGUACCUAGAUGUGUAACCGCUUGGGAAUACAACGUGCUGUG